UACAGAGGUCUCAAGCGUUACGCGGAUUCAUUGGGCUUAAAGGGUGCGUAGGCGGACUUGCAAGUGCCUUGUGAAAUCCCAGAGCUUAACUCUGGAAUCGCUCGGUAGACUGUGAGUCUUGAGGUCGGUAGGGGCUGUCGGAACGCUAGGUGGAGCGGUGAAAUGCGUAGAUAUCUAGCGGAACGCCAAAGGUGAAGACAGACAGCUGGGCCGAUUCUGACGCUGAGGCACGAAAGCGUGGGUAGCGAACGGG
rnacentral:rRNA from 1 species